rnacentral:rRNA from 1 species
AGUGAACGCUGGCGGUAGGCCUAACACAUGCAAGUCGGACGGCAGCACAGUAAGAGCUUGCUCUUACGGGUGGCGAGUGGCGGACGGGUGAGGAAUACAUCGGAAUCUACUUUUUCGUGGGGAUAACGUAGGGAAACUUACGCUAAUACCGCAUACGACCUACGGGUGAAAGCAGGGGAUCUUCGGACCUUGCGCGAUUGAAUGAGCCGAUGUCGGAUUAGCUAGUUGGCGGGGUAAAGGCCCACCAAGGCGACGAUCCGUAGCUGGUCUGAGAGGAUGAUCAGCCACACUGGAACUGAGACACGGUCCAGACUCCUACGGGAGGCAGCAGUGGGGAAUAUUGGACAAUGGGCGCAAGCCUGAUCCAGCCAUACCGCGUGGGUGAAGAAGGCCUUCGGGUUGUAAAGCCCUUUUGUUGGGAAAGAAAAGCAGCAGGUUAAUACCCCGCUGUUCUGACGGUGCCCAAAGAAUAAGCACCGGCUAACUUCGUG